rnacentral:rRNA from 1 species
UACGAAGGGGGCUAGCGUUGCUCGGAAUCACUGGGCGUAAAGCGCACGUAGGCGGCUUCUUAAGUCAGGGGUGAAAUCCUGGAGCUCAACUCCAGAACUGCCUUUGAUACUGGGAGGCUCGAGUCCGGGAGAGGUGAGUGGAACUGCGAGUGUAGAGGUGAAAUUCGUAGAUAUUCGCAAGAACACCAGUGGCGAAGGCGGCUCACUGGCCCGGUACUGACGCUGAGGUGCGAAAGC